rnacentral:misc_RNA from 1 species
AACGCAUCUUGCGCUCCCUGGUCUAUUCCGAGGAGCAUGUCUGUUUGAGUGUCGUGUAACCUCUCAAUCUCUUUCCCUCUUGCUUUAUUGCUCGAGGGAGAGCCUGAUUGGAUCGUGGCCUCCGCCGUGUCCGUUUUGGAGACAGCCGGGUCGAAAUACAGACAAGUGAUGACCCUAGCUCGUGCUGAUCGGCUUGAACUCGACGUUGUAAUCUAUCCUCGUUGAACUACGAUCUUCUGCUUGCUAGUGUCCCACUUCGAGACACAUCUAUCUCGUAGCGAUACGAGCAAUUUUGACCUCAAAUCAGGCAGGACUACCCGCUGAACUUAA